rnacentral:tRNA from 1 species
GGGGGUGUAGCUCAGUGGUAGAGCACUUGCCUAGGAUGCAGGGUGCCCUGAAUUUCAUCCUCAGCACUGUUG